ACUGACAAGAAGGUUCAGCGUCUACUGCCAUGCCACCAUCUGCCUCUGACUUCGUGGGCCAGUAUAAUAAAAUAGGGAGUGUUACUUUCAGAGCAACCCUUAUACAAGUUAAUAUCUCAAAAAUCAUAGAUAUGGAGGGGAAUAAAGACCUUAAAAAUCGAAAGAGUGUGAUUUGACAAGAAGAAGAAUAAGCCUGUGUCAAGGAGCAAGAGAUACCAGCAAGCCCCUGUCUGACUGACAGCCACUAAAUCAAAGACUUAACAGAUAGCUCAUCAAAGUUGGAAGCUGCCAAAAUGGUGAAUUACCUGUUCCUGUUGUUGACCAGUAAUCUGAUCGAAGACCUGCUGCACAGAAGAAAGAAUUACAAGAAGAUUGAGGUUUGAAGUUGAGGUUGGAAGGCGCCUCUGAAAAUCAUCUAGUCCAACCUCCUCAAAGCAGCAUCAACAACAGCUCAGCACCACAAUCAGUUGGUUUUUUAUCUACAAGAAUGGAGACUCCACAAUCUCUCUGGACAACCUGAACACCUUCACCAGAAAACAGUGUUUUUUGUUUGGUUGUUCUGUUCCUCAUCCCAAUAUUAAUGGGGAAUUUUCUCUAUUAGCAGCUUAGCAUUAACAUAUUUCUUUCCAAUAUACUGUACAAUAUACAUGGAGAAGGAAAAACCAUUUCAUGCUGUGGGACUGCUAUUGGGGAAAGUAUGCUCCCAGUUCUACCAGUUCUUUAGCUAAGAGUGUCCUGAUGCCAUGUUACUUCAUUCCUCUUGUUGAAGGAGGCACACUGCUAAUACCACCAGGUGGCAUGUACCUCAAGCUGUACAGACCCUGUCCUGCAGCUUAAUCAUUAACAUUAAUACUCAAGGGACUAAAAUGGAUUUUUUUGAGGCAAAGCCUGUGAAAGUCACAUUACUGUUAUCUCCUAACUUUUUGUGUUUGACACAAGAAGUCCGAACAAUUCUUUUAAGGGCCUAAAUAAGAUAGGUGGAGCUCAA